rnacentral:rRNA from 1 species
CAGAGCCUGAAUCAGUAUGUGUGUUAGUGGAAGCGUCUGGAAAGGCGCGCGAUACAGGGUGACAGCCCCGUACACAAAAAUGCACAUGCUGUGAGCUCGAUGAGUAGGGCGGGACACGUGGUAUCCUGUCUGAAUAUGGGGGGACCAUCCUCCAAGGCUAAAUACUCCUGACUGACCGAUAGUGAACCAGUACCGUGAGGGAAAGGCGAAAAGAACCCCGGCGAGGGGAGUGAAAAAGAACCUGAAACCGUGUACGUACAAGCAGUGGGAGCACGCUUAGGCGUGUGACUGCGUACCUUUUGUAUAAUGGGUCAGCGACUUAUAUUCUGUAGCAAGGUUAACCGAAUAGGGGAGCCGAAGGGAAACCGAGUCUUAACUGGGCGUUAAGUUGCAGGGUAUAGACCCGAAACCCGGUGAUCUAGCCAUGGGCAGGUUGAAGGUUGGGUAACACUAACUGGAGGACCGAACCGACUAAUGUUGAAAAAUUAGCGGAUGACUUGUGGCUGGGGGUGAAAGGCCAAUCAAACCGGGAGAUAGCUGGUUCUCCCCGAAAGCUAUUUAGGUAGCGCCUCGUGAAUUCAUCUCCGGGGGUAGAGCACUGUUUCGGCAAGGGGGUCAUCCCGACUUACCAACCCGAUGCAAACUGCGAAUACCGGAGAAUGUUAUCACGGGAGACACACGGCGGGUGCUAACGUCCGUCGUGAAGAGGGAAACAACCCAGACCGCCAGCUAAGGUCCCAAAGUCAUGGUUAAGUGGGAAACGAUGUGGGAAGGCCCAGACAGCCAGGAUGUUGGCUUAGAAGCAGCCAUCAUUUAAAGAAAGCGUAAUAGCUCACUGGUCGAGUCGGCCUGCGCGGAAGAUGUAACGGGGCUAAACCAUGCACCGAAGCUGCGGCAGCGACGCUGAUGCGUUGUUGGGUAGGGGAGCGUUCUGUAAGCCUGCGAAGGUGUGCUGUGAGGCAUGCUGGAGGUAUCAGAAGUGCGAAUGCUGACAUAAGUAACGAUAAAGCGGGUGAAAAGCCCGCUCGCCGGAAGACCAAGGGUUCCUGUCCAACGUUAAUCGGGGCAGGGUGAGUCGACCCCUAAGGCGAGGCCGAAAGGCGUAGUCGAUGGGAAACAGGUUAAUAUUCCUGUACUUGGUGUUACUGCGAAGGGGGGACGGAGAAGGCUAUGUUGGCCGGGCGACGGUUGUCCCGGUUUAAGCGUGUAGGCUGGUUUUCCAGGCAAAUCCGGAAAAUCAAGGCUGAGGCGUGAUGACGAGGCACUACGGUGCUGAAGCAACAAAUGCCCUGCUUCCAGGAAAAGCCUCUAAGCAUCAGGUAACAUCAAAUCGUACCCCAAACCGACACAGGUGGUCAGGUAGAGAAUACCAAGGCGCUUGAGAGAACUCGGGUGAAGGAACUAGGCAAAAUGGUGCCGUAACUUCGGGAGAAGGCACGCUGAUAUGUAGGUGAAGUCCCUCGCGGAUGGAGCUGAAAUCAGUCGAAGAUACCAGCUGGCUGCAACUGUUUAUUAAAAACACAGCACUGUGCAAACACGAAAGUGGACGUAUACGGUGUGACGCCUGCCCGGUGCCGGAAGGUUAAUUGAUGGGGUUAGCGCAAGCGAAGCUCUUGAUCGAAGCCCCGGUAAACGGCGGCCGUAACUAUAACGGUCCUAAGGUAGCGAAAUUCCUUGUCGGGUAAGUUCCGACCUGCACGAAUGGCGUAAUGAUGGCCAGGCUGUCUCCACCCGAGACUCAGUGAAAUUGAACUCGCUGUGAAGAUGCAGUGUACCCGCGGCAAGACGGAAAGACCCCGUGAACCUUUACUAUAGCUUGACACUGAACAUUGAGCCUUGAUGUGUAGGAUAGGUGGGAGGCUUUGAAGUGUGGACGCCAGUCUGCAUGGAGCCGACCUUGAAAUACCACCCUUUAAUGUUUGAUGUUCUAACGUUGACCCGUAAUCCGGGUUGCGGACAGUGUCUGGUGGGUAGUUUGACUGGGGCGGUCUCCUCCUAAAGAGUAACGGAGGAGCACGAAGGUUGGCUAAUCCUGGUCGGACAUCAGGAGGUUAGUGCAAUGGCAUAAGCCAGCUUGACUGCGAGCGUGACGGCGCGAGCAGGUGCGAAAGCAGGUCAUAGUGAUCCGGUGGUUCUGAAUGGAAGGGCCAUCGCUCAACGGAUAAAAGGUACUCCGGGGAUAACAGGCUGAUACCGCCCAAGAGUUCAUAUCGACGGCGGUGUUUGGCACCUCGAUGUCGGCUCAUCACAUCCUGGGGCUGAAGUAGGUCCCAAGGGUAUGGCUGUUCGCCAUUUAAAGUGGUACGCGAGCUGGGUUUAGAACGUCGUGAGACAGUUCGGUCCCUAUCUGCCGUGGGCGCUGGAGAACUGAGGGGGGCUGCUCCUAGUACGAGAGGACCGGAGUGGACGCAUCACUGGUGUUCGGGUUGUCAUGCCAAUGGCACUGCCCGGUAGCUAAAUGCGGAAGAGAUAAGUGCUGAAAGCAUCUAAGCACGAAACUUGCCCCGAGAUGAGUUCUCCCUGACUCCUUGAGAGUCCUGAAGGAACGUUGAAGACGACGACGUUGAUAGGCCGGGUGUGUAAGCGCAGCGAUGCGUUGAGCUAACCGGUACUAAUGAACCGUGAGGCUUAACCUUACAACGCCGAAG